CUGGGAUAACUUUUUGCCAUUUUUGGAUUUAUCACAUUUGUGAGUAUACUGCUGCCUUUUGCCAACUGGUUUAUAGUAAGGCGUUGAUAUAAUUUAUUCAUAUCGUACGUACGAUCAUAUUCAUACUAACCAGUUAAAGACAUAAAAAAAUACUUCCAUACAUUUCCUUCAGCGGCUUUAUAGUAACUUCAUAUUUCACAAAAAUAGAAUAUGUAAAUAUCAUUAAAUUUGUAUGAAUUGCACGUUUACAAAAAUAGCUUCACAUUUUAUUUUAUGGAGCAUAUUGUGAUAUCGUUCACAGUAUAAUUACAUCCCCAUCCAUUCAGUGUUUGCAGUCUGCAGGUGAGACGAGUCUUUAGAAUCUUUAUGACGUUUUUGGUGAGAUCGUUCUACAACAGUUUGGCAUUGUGACUUAAAGGCAUGUGACAAAAAAGGCUUAGCUUGUAACUUGAUAAAUCUGCACUUGCUUUUUUUUAAUGGUUUCCAGAAAACAUGAUACCGAAAGCAUUAAAGGACCACUAUAGUGCCAGGAAAACAUACUCGCCAGGCUCUGGGGAGAGGAAAGGGUUAAAUCUUACCUUUUUUUCCAGCGCCAGGCGGGGAGCUCUCUUCCUCCUCUCUGCCUCCGAGCCUCCUUUUCGGCUGAAUGCGCAUGCGCGGCAGGAGAUGCGCGCGCAUUCAGCCUGUCUCAUAAGAAAGCAUUCAUAAUGCUUUCCUAUGGACGCUUGCGUCUUCUCACUGUGAUUUUCACAGUGAGAAGCACGCAAACCCCUCUAGCGGCUGUCAAUGAGACAG